rnacentral:misc_RNA from 1 species
GAUGAAGAACGUAGCGAAAUGCGAUAAGUAAUGCGAAUUGCAGAAUUUCCGUGAGUCAUCGAAUCUUUGAACGCACAUUGCGCCCACUGGUAUUCCGGUGGGCAUGCCUGUUCAAGCGUCAUUAUCCUCCCUCAAACCUCGGGUUUGGUGUUGGACCCAAGUUGUGUGAACAACUGGUCUUAAAGACAAUGACGGCGUCCGUGGGACCCUCGGUGCAACGAGCUUUUAGGAGCACGCGUCGAGUUUCAAGGACCUUCCGGGCCGGUCUCCUUUACCAUUUUACAAGGUUGACCUCGGAUCAGGUAGGAAUACCCGCUGAACUUAAGCAUAUCAAUAAGCGGAGGA